rnacentral:lncRNA from 1 species
GUGGUUAUUGAUUAACAAUAUAUAGUAUGUUUUGAAAAAAAAGUAUUAAUUUUGGUGUUACUAGUGUAAAAUUAUAAGAUUUCCCAUAGAUAGAUAGACGAAAUAGUCUUACUUAGUGAAGGUUCAUUAUUAAUUUUUUUAUUGUAAUAUAAUAAAGUAGAAAAUCGAUUACUUUAUUUUAAUUGUUUUAACUGAAAGUUUGAACUAUUUAUUUCAGUAAAAACAAACAAGCUCGUGAUUAUGGAAUGGGAAACGCGAGGUUCAGAAAUUCAGAAGGCCAGAUCCUUGAUGUUCUUAGCAUAUCUCAGAACGAAUUCAUUUCCUUGAUAAAGUAAUAAACAACCAAUUCUAAGUAUUUUACGUUAAUAAACUAAGAAAAUGCGAAGAGGAAAUUUAGCUUUCUCACUGCAGAAACAAUUUAUUGAUCAAAUCCCAAUCUUUGAGAAUAGUCUCUAUGUUUCAUGAGUACAGUUUUAGUCAUUAAGGGUUUAAAUCGAAUU